AACCACUGUUGUGUCGUCAGAAUCAUCGACAACCACUGUGUGUGUCGUCAGAAUCAUCGACAACCACUGUGUGUGUCGUCAGAAUCAUCGACAACCACUGUGUGUGUCGUCAGAAUCAUCGACAACCACUGUGUGUGUCGUCAGAAUCAUCGACAACCACUGUGUGUCGUCAGAAUCAUCGACAACCACUGUGUGUGUCGUCAGAAUCAUCGACAACCACUGUGUGUGUCGUCAGAAUCAUCGACAACCACUGUGUGUGUCGUCAGAGUCAUC